UCCACCCAAGGACUUUGAGCCAGCUU
rnacentral:piRNA from 1 species